rnacentral:misc_RNA from 1 species
AUUCUGGUGGUGGCUGUUCGCACAGUUGCGCGAACUCCCUGUGAUGAUGUGCUUUCUUUCCGUAGAAAUUGGAUUAGGAAGCCUUUAAGCAGGUAGUACUCCUUGCAUAAGCCUGCAUCGUCGGCUAAUUGAUUUAUGCGGCCACUUCUUGUGUUGGCCGAAGUGAUCAGGAUGCCGCAAAGAAGUUAGUUGCGUGACGGACAACGGGGGGACUCGCGCAAAUUUCUCGGCUAUCACCACACCCAGAGGAGUAAAGGAAGCUUGAGAGUACGGCGGUGAGGGUUGAUUGGGUAUCUGUGACGAGGUGUUCAGAACUAGGGUUUGUUUUUUUUUUCUGUUUUCCUCAUUUCUCCGAAAGGCUGGAGCACUUUGUGGAUUGUCCGGCGAACGCCUGUUGUGACUGUGGCACCACGGAGUCGUCGGAGUGACAAACUGGACGGCGGGUGUUCAGAGGAGUCCGCGAUCAUGAUGGCGUGUUGCAUUAGUGAAGAAGCGAAAGAACAGAGAAGAAUCAAUCAAGAGAUCGAGCGACAACUACGAAAGGAUAAGCGUGAUGCCCGGCGGGAGCUCAAGCUCCUGCUGCUCGGCACAGGCGAGUCUGGAAAAAGCACCUUCAUCAAGCAGAUGCGAAUUAUCCAUGGCCAUGGCUAUAAUGAUGAAGACAAGAAAGGCUUCAUCAAGCUUGUCUAUCAAAACAUUUUUAUGGCCAUGCAAAGCAUGAUCAAGGCAAGGGAAAUGCUGAAGAUCCCUUUCCGUUCUCCAGAGAACCAGGAGAAUGCAAAUCUGGUGAUGUCUGUAGACUACGAAACAGUCACGACCUUUGAGAAGCCCUACGUGGAUGCGAUCAAGCAGCUUUGGGGAGAUGAUGGCAUCCAGGAGUGCUACGAUAGGCGUCGCGAGUACCAGCUGACAGAUUCUGCCAAAUACUACCUUACAGAUGUGGACAGAAUAGCUGCCCCAAACUACCUUCCUACGCAACAAGACAUCCUUCGGGUACGAGUGCCCACAACAGGCAUUAUCGAGUACCCAUUUGACUUGGACUCCAUCAUUUUCAGAAUGGUGGAUGUUGGUGGCCAGCGGUCUGAGCGGAGGAAAUGGAUACACUGUUUUGAGAAUGUGACGUCUAUUAUAUUCCUAGUAGCCUUAAGUGAAUACGACCAGAUCCUAUUCGAGUCUGACAAUGAGAACCGAAUGGAGGAGAGCAAAGCUUUGUUCAAGACCAUCAUCACAUAUCCCUGGUUUCAAAACUCGUCUGUUAUUCUAUUUCUAAACAAGAAGGACUUACUAGAAGAAAAAAUUAUGUAUUCUCAUUUAGUGGACUAUUUUCCGGAAUAUGAUGGUCCGAAACAGGAUCAUGUGGCUGCAAGGAACUUCAUUCUCAAGACUUAUUUGGAUCAGAAUCCUGAUAAAAAACGUAUGGUUUACUCCCACUUCACAUGUGCCACAGACACGGAGAACAUUCGGAUGGUGUUCUGUGCUGUCAAGGACACCAUUAUGCAGAACAACCUUAAAGAGUUCAACUUUGCCUGAUGCUUUCUUUCUCUGCCCUGCAUUCCUUUUGAGCCGCAUGCCUUUCGUUUGGAUGGACACAGAGAACAUCCGGUUUGUGUUCGCCGCCGUAAAGGACACCAUCCUGCAGCUGAACUUGAAGGAGUACAACCUAGUGUAGGAACUGCC